UCUCUGGAGCUCAUCUCUCUCGGCUCACUCCCUCCCUCUCGAAGACUCUCGAACUCUCUCUUCGUGCCUCCCUCAAUUAUCUCAGGUAUCUCUUCACACUGUCUCUCCCGCAUCUUCCCCUCACACUUUUUUUUUUCUCUCAGUCUUUUCCCGCGUCUCUCUCUCUAACUCUCUCCUCCUCAUACAACAUCGACGUCGAGGACCACCACGACUCAUCGUCUACUUCGACGAGCACUGCCCCCACAACCCAACCUUCCACCUUGUCCUAUCUCUAUCCCUGGACCCAUAACUAAGGACAAAACUGUGGAAAAUCCUCGUAUUGAAUAGCUCCAGCAUCGAACGGGAUGUUUGACGAAUUCACAAUGUUACUCCAACUUGGUGAAAUGGUACAGAGAUAACUUGGGGAAGUUAUUAAUUCCGGCGAAGCCCGAGAUGUUUGGAAGCUAUUUUCGACCAACUCCGGCCACAUCGGGGGACCAUAAUGGUACGAUUACUAUCAGAGACUCCAGUUUUCCUAACUUGGACGGUUGCGACCUUGCAAGUAUCUGAUUUAGAAUCGAGGUGUACGAUCCCAGCGUCAGGGUACUUCCACAUAGUUAUCUUCGAGUCUUCUCAGUGUAGUACCUAUUCCUUGGUUAAUUCUUCAUGGGUGUGGAUGCUCAUCAAUACUAUAUUGGGAGAUCAAUUUUUUGAAGCUUCUGCCUGUCCAUGGCCUUGCGGGUAACAGGGAGUGGAGGUAAGUUACCAGUCUGCAACUUCGGAACUAGUGAAUUGUAGCCUGUUAUCUGUAAGUAUGGCAUGGAGAAUACCAAAACGGCAUAUAAUGUUUUGGCAGCUUUCUUUAAAAAAAAAAAAAUUAAAAACUGAUGGUUUAUUAGGUUUGAAAGUCUGUUGAGAAGGAGAAGUAAUUAUUGGCAGAAUCCUUUUUGGCGACAUCUGCGUUCGAGGGUUUGGAAUUGUUAAUGCAACUCUGAAUAAAGUUAACAGACUCAACUUUCUCUUUUUCAUCCCCACUUCCUCACUCACACAGGUAGCAAUCAAUUCAUUGACAUCUCAUUUUUCACGCAGUGCAUUAUAAGAAAAUAACUUCGAGUUGAGUGUAGCUAUCGGACAAGAGGGCACCUCUAAUGCUUUAAGCUUUCCAGUAAUAUCAAUCAUUUUGAGAGCAUAUCCACGGACACGGACACUCUGAACACCAUCAUAUCUCAUGGUUGUCAAGGAGUUCAUCAAGGUACUAGUUUCAGUCUUCUCCGACUCCUUGUAAUCUUCCUUGAUUGACUUCAUUGCAUCAGGAAAACCUCGACGCACAACAUCAGUCAUGGUCCUCUUGAUGGUCAUCAGAGAGAUCCUUUUUAACUUUUGCCAUUUCUCAUACUUCGAUCUCUGACUUGUACGUGGUACUUCCGUCAGCAGGCAGGCACUGGUGGUUCAUCAACUCUCUGCGCCAAGUCUAUAUCCAUGACGCACAACACUAUUUUCAGAUCCUGCUUCAUUUCUUGUAGUUGAUCCAGUGAGAGGUUGGCCGUGUUGAGAUUCAUGGAGCUAGGGUUCACAACUGAACACAUAAUAUGUAAAGAAUUAAUCUUUAGUCCCCAAAACCAUAUGUUAUAGAUUCACCAUCUUUAGGUCGAAGAAGAGUGAAUAAUUUCUCUUGAUUUUAAUACCGUCAUAACCAUGUUUGAAUUUUCUAUAACCAUGUAGCACACCUUUGUGGUUAGAAAACAUGGUUGAGUUAUUAUGCCACUUAAAAUUCGAAACAUGAAUAACAAACCUUCUUCAGAUGAUUAGUAUUCAUGUUUUAAAUUUUAGUGCAAGUACUGAUGUUCAGAUCGUUGUAAAAAAAUACAUGCAUGAACAAGAAAAGUUAAUACAUGUCCAUACAUGAUUUCCCUGAUGAUCUGAAGUCAGUCCGUAAUCUGCAUACAAAGGAAAUUGUUCUUGAUGCUUUCGACAUUAGGUUAAAAGUUAUGUGAAAGCUCUAAUACCAAAUGUUAGAGUUUGUGAUGCUGAAACCAAAUCACGAUACAACGCUCACUGUAUGCACUACUCAAUCGAUAGGGCUUGAGACUUCCUGUACUGCGCAAAGAAUAUGAGAGCAGGGACCCUGCUUUAUACUGGAGAUGGUGGUGUUCAGCAGGAUACUUCCCAUUAUGUAAUCCUUAUCAAACUGAUCCUUACUACUGUAAAACUACAGUAUCCAUAUCACAGUAGACAAACUAUU